rnacentral:rRNA from 1 species
CCUACGGGAGGCAGCAGUGGGGAAUAUUGCACAAUGGGGGAAACCCUGAUGCAGCAACGCCGCGUGAGUGAAGAAGUAUUUCGGUAUGUAAAGCUCUAUCAGCAGGGAAGAAGAUGACGGUACCUGAGUAAGAAGCCCCGGCUAACUACGUGCCAGCAGCCGCGGUAAUACGUAGGGGGCAAGCGUUAUCCGGAUUUACUGGGUGUAAAGGGAGCGUAGACGGUGAGACAAGUCUGAAGUGAAAGCCCGGGGCUCAACCCCGGGACUGCUUUGGAAACUGCCUGACUGGAGUGCUGGAGAGGCAAGCGGAAUUCCUAGUGUAGCGGUGAAAUGCGUAGAUAUUAGGAAGAACUCCGAUUGCGAAGGCAGCUUACUAAACUGCCACUGACAUUGAUGCUCGAAAGUGUGGGUAUCAAACAGGAUUAGAUACCCUUGUAGUC